AAUGUAAUUGAUGAGUUAUAUAGUAAGUCCAUUAUUUGUUUUGAAAGAACUUGCCAAACUAUUUUUCAGAAUGGCUGUACCAUUUUACAUUCCUAUCAACAAU
rnacentral:pre_miRNA from 1 species